GCAAGGAGUAGUUAGGUGGUUUGGGACCACUCAGCCCCCACCUUUCUCAGCAGCCCUUGAGGUCAACCAAAUGGCUAAACUGAAGAGCAACUUGGCAGCUAGUCAGAUAGGGGGUGGGGGGAAGAAGGGAGGAAAAGACUUGAAUUUUAACCGCCUCACCAGGGAUCUGACUCCCUGACAAUGAACAUUUAGAAGAUCCAUGCUGUGAUGGUGGUCUGUCCCUGGGAGAAGAUAAAUUUUCUUUUCCUUAUCUUCAUCCAGUGAUUCAAUUAAUGCAAAAACAAACUAAAACAACUCCAAUUGGUGUUUUCUGGGAGGGGCUGUGGAACACAGGGUUCCAGCCUAAGAGGAGCUCAUAGUCUAGUGCCUUCUUUAGGCUAUCAGCCUUGUACCCACCACUCCCUCACCUCGGCCUCUGAUAGAGGAGUAGUUGGAGACCGCGCCAGGGGAGCCACAGACAGAGAAAGCUAUGCAGAGCAGCCGAAUGAGCCACUAUGGGAAUCAGGAUUUCCUAACACAGGACAGGAAAUAUAGAGAAGCUGUAAAGCAGACAAGGGUAAAGGAACUUACAGCUUUUGUUCCUUUGCGUGGCAAGGUUGCUCUUGACAUUCACUCCAAAAUGGCCAAUGGGAGUAAUGCCAUGGGACAUUCCUGUUUCCAUCUGCAUGUUUAAAUAUCAAAUGUGGGCAGUCCGGGUGGCUCAGCAGUUUAGCGCUGCCUUCAGCCCAAGGCGUGAUCCUGGAGACUCAGGAUCGAGUCCCAUAUUGGGCUCCCUGCAUGGAGCCUGCUUCUCUCUCUGCCUGUGUCUCUGCCUCUCUCUCUCCGUGUCUCUCAUGAAUAAAUAAAUAAAAUCUUAAAAAAAUAAAAAUAAAUAAAUAUCAAAUGUUAAAUAAUUU
rnacentral:lncRNA from 1 species